GGUUAAGCGACUAAGCGUACACGGUGGAUGCCCUGGCAGUCAGAGGCGAUGAAGGGCGUGCUAAUCUGCGAUAAGCGCCGGUAAGGUGAUAUGAACCGUUAUAACCGGCGAUACCCGAAUGGGGAAACCCAGUGUGACUCGUCACACUAUCAUUAACUGAAUCCAUAGGUUAAUGAGGCGAACCGGGGGAACUGAAACAUCUAAGUACCCCGAGGAAAAGAAAUCAACCGAGAUUCCCCCAGUAGCGGCGAGCGAACGGGGAGGAGCCCAGAGCCUGAAUCAGCAUGUGUGUUAGUGGAAGCGUCUGGAAAGGCGCGCGAUACAGGGUGACAGCCCCGUACACAAAAGCGCAUGUGCUGUGAGCUCGAUGAGUAGGGCGGGACACGUGGUAUCCUGUCUGAAUAUGGGGGGACCAUCCUCCAAGGCUAAAUACUCCUGACUGACCGAUAGUGAACCAGUACCGUGAGGGAAAGGCGAAAAGAACCCCGGCGAGGGGAGUGAAAAAGAACCUGAAACCGUGUACGUACAAGCAGUGGGAGCCCCACCACCAAAGCAUUCUCUGGUGUUGAAGGCCCUGCAAAGCAGCAUCGCGGUGGCGGAGCGUCGUUUGCGACGCCCAACACACAAAACAAGCGGUGAGUGCUUUG
rnacentral:rRNA from 1 species